rnacentral:lncRNA from 1 species
AGGAGAAACAGAACAGAACGCGCAGUGUUCCCGGAUUGGGAAAACAAACGCGUGCCAUGCUGUGUUGGAUUUUUGGAUCAGGACCGCCUUUGGACUUAUCACUUAAUUAAAAAAAUGAAAAAGAUAGACACGCAUGUACAUAUUUUUUGGGUUUUAUCUCCUAAUUAAAUAAUAAAAGAAAAGAAAAGAGAACUUGGAUUUAUUUAAAACGGGAAUAAAAAGAAAUUAAGUCUAAAUUAAAACUAUGUUAAAAUAAUUAAUUUAUAACAAAAACAGAAUUAAAAGAUGGAAAUAAUUGAUCAAAGACUGAGAGAAGAGGGCCCGAUUCGGAACUUUAUGAGGUAUUUCAAAAUACCUCUCUGCCGAAUUUUUCACUGAAAUGUUUAAGUCCGAUCAGGGUCAAGUGACACGUGUCAGUGGGAUCUUGGGUCAAAAUUUGGGGUAUGACAACGCUAAUUAGUAUAAAUUUUUUGACACCUAAAGUUAUAUUUUAAUACAUUUAUAUUAACAUAACGUUAAUUAGUAUAAAUUUUUUGACACCUAAAGUUAUAUUUGUAGAACAAGAAGAUGGAGGAGAACGAGGAGAAGGUUUGGCAUCUCUCUUUUACGUACUCCAAAGUAUAUGAGAACACAACAUGAUGGAGCAAGAGAAUGUGGAAAUUGAUAUGAACAAUCUCAUAUCCAAACCAAUCUAAAAUAUAAGUUGAUAUGGGACAAUCCACUUUGAUCAUUUAUAUCGACCCCACAAGAUGACACAAGGUCUAUGUUAACCUUCCUAUGAAAGGUCAAUAGUGAAACAUUGACAUCAACAAUGUCCCAAAAAAAAAGGGGGGGAAAUAUGAAGAUUAGUUUUAGCAUGAAGAAAUAGAAGAAAAGAGGGGUAUUUAUAGGCAAAAAAGGAUGUCUCACUAGUCAAUCAAACGUGUAAAACACCACAUUUUAAUUCAAAAUCAUCUGACCUUCCAAAGACUUGUUGACCAAGCCACUGUCAAAAUUUUGGACUGCUGCAUAUUAUAUUAUUCGAACGCAAUACCAGUAUUGGUUUGGAUUAUAUAAAUUAAAAUGUUUCCAAACUCUAUUAAAAUAUGUGUUUUGGAGGGUUUGUCGUGUUUCAGGUUAUAUAACUUGAACGGCCGAACCAGUCAAAUAUAUGAUUUUUUGUGGUCCACAUUGCACCGAUAUUUUUUGUGGUCCAUAACACACAAAGUUUUCUAUAAAUUGACGUGUUUGAUUCAUUUGAAAAGCACAUCAUAGAAUCAUGAACACUUAUUCAAUAGAUAUGAAUAAUAAGCUAGUUGUAGUUUACUACAAUAGAGGGAAACAUAAUCUAUUUAGGGCCCACGUUGAUGUCAGACUAUCUGACUUGAAGGAUCAGUAACAUCACAUUAAUAGUCAUCUCAACCAGAUAGACGAAUCAAAAGUGGACACAGUUGAGUAUCGUCACAUGUCAAUCGACUUAGAUGGACGCACUCGGUUCACCCAAAUGAAGCUCUGAAACAACAACAACAAUGUGAGAACCAUGUUCUCUAUAUUUGGUCACUAUAGUUCAAUGGGAUCGAUCGAGUUUAACGCUUCCCUGGUUAAAUCUUUUCAUGAUAAUCAUGAAAGUUUGGUUAGGCCAAGAAUAUGAAGAAAUCAUUGCAUGGAUAGGCUAGAUGAAGAAUUUAAUUUUGUUGAUACAUGAUUCCGAUUGGUAAUAUUAGUGGGGAUAGUGGAGUGUGUUAGGAUGGUAACCACUUUAGCAAUUGGAAAGGGGAAGGGGUUCAAAACAAGUGUAGUAAUAUUUGUCAAAGAACAAAUAUUGGGUUGAGCUUAUUUUGCAUCUUUAACAAAUGGAGUAUAUCUAUCUAAUUAAGCUUCUAAUUCGGUAUAACUUUGGAUCUUCAAUUAAGUGUAAUCUUUGUGAGGAAUAACAGAUUUAUCAGAGCAGAUGCAAUAACCCUUUUCGUGAUUUUGGGUUGGCACGUUUCGAUCUAGGGUGGUUACAUUAAGUGGUGGAAUUUAUUCUCCAAUUCUAAUUAGAGUACAUGGAAUACGUAAAUCAAGGCUUUAGGCAUAUCAAUAUAUUAUAUUGAACAAUUCUUUCAAUUAAUGAAUAAAACUUAGUUUGAUUGAUAGAGAUAUUUCGAACACCAACAUCCUGUUCCGACUCAUUUAUUUAAGAGUUACAUUUUUAGUCACCAAAAAAGAAUUAUGUGGAUGUUACUAGAAAGGAAAAAAAAAAAAAAGGAGGAUGUGAUUCUUCUAACUAGAAUAUUUUUGUUUUUGAUAGGUAUUCUAACUAGAAUAUUCUCCACAGAAACGUGACAAAUUUUUACAAAUGCGUGAGUCACACCUAGAAAAGCAAUUCCGAAACAAUGUCUUACAAUACUGCAUAUAAUAUUUAAAUUUAGUGUAUAUAUAAUUUUUUUUGAAAAAGUUAAAAUGAAAUGUAUUCAAAACGCAAAAAUCUUAGCUAGCAAGAAAAAUACUAAGUUAGGAGACUUAAAUAGCAACAUACAAAGGAAAAGUGCGCUAUAUAUGCGGGACACUCAAACAAACAUUUGUACAUCAAAUACAAAUGUCUACAAACAAACCAAAAACACCCUCCAUUGAGGGCCUUCGAAAUCAAUAAAAUCUAAACAUCAAAACCACAAAGUCAUCUCCCAAAAUCAAAGUCUAAACGCCCUCCAAAAUAACCAUCAAACCUACCAAAAAUUCUUGCAACUGCACCUUGCUUCUCUUCUGCAGUUGAGGGCAAUUAAGCGCAAGUAAAAUCACCAUCUAGAAAACACAUAGCUCAAUUCUUGAAACAAGCUACGCCGUCUAACAUCCAUGUAUUUGUAAAAACCCCAUCAACAACGAACUCAUAAGAGAAAAUCCACAAAAAAAAAAAAAAAAACCGCCACUAUCCACCACAAGCACAACCACAAAAACCAACAGCAGCACCACCACCAAAACUACCAUUAACCACCACAAAAUCACCAUUACUCCUCACCAAAAACCAGCACCAACCACCACGAGCUUCACCACCAAUAUCCAUCCAAAACCACACCACUAUAACCACCACACUAACUUACACCUCCACUGCCUCCACCAACCUUCUCGCAGCACAGCUACCACCACAACAACAACAACCAAGCAAAACCAACACUAUAUGUGACCAUCCUGUGAGCCGUAAUCACGUCCACCUAGCCACCACACAACCACCACGAAAAGUUAAUGUGACAAACACGAAAACUGUCGGAGAAAACGGCAAACCUUCAACAACCACCUUUCACCACCAACCCAUAACUAAUCGCCGCACCAACAACCCUGUGCACCACCAUUACCGUUGUCACCGCCGACGACACUCUACCAUCACCUGCAAACCACUACUGCAUCACCACCACCACACAAAGACCUCCACCCGAACCACCACCACCACAUCACCACCGAAUUCGUGAACAGCAUCUCCACAACCAAAGCAAAAUCACCACAACAUCACCACAUCCACCUCCUUUCACCGUCAAAACUGUGACCUACACUACCACAACACACUAAGAGGAAACUGCCAGAUCCGGAUUGAGAAAGACCACAGAAAAAUUCAAAACGAAACAACAACAAAACGGAAACGAAAAACGAACAAAAAAACACAAUGACUGAAGACGAAAAAACGUUGCCGCCAUUGCGAAGACAAGAAAACCACCAGCAAAACGCACAAGAUCAUCGCUCCUUAUUAUAUAUAUAUAUAUAUAUAUAUAUAUAUAUAUAUAUAUAUAUAUAGAGAGAGAGAGAGAGAGAGACACACUAGCUAAGUUUGAAAUAUAUGAUAUCUUGUUUUUUGGAACUUUUCUCCAAUGUCAAUUAUAUUAUUUUGGCUUACAACUUACACGACCGACUUCCUAGAAAGAAAGAAAAAAAAACUUACAAGACCGACUGGAUGAACAGAAAGGCUAGGCUUUAUUCUUUUUAUAAAGAAAGGCUAUUUAGUUCAAUAAUAUCUGCUUAAUUAUAUAUAAAAGUUUGAUAAAGAAAAAACUUCCAUCUGUUAAGAUUGAGGUUUGUUCUUGUAAAAAAAAAUAAAAACAAUAGAUUGAGGUUUGUUACUUCUUAUGUUGUGUUGUUAUAUUUUGCGUUAUUAUGUGUGUCGUAUGUUGUUCUAUCUUAUGUUGUGUUGUUAUCAGGGCCGGCCCUGAGAGGGUGCAAACAGCUCAACAGAGCUGGGCCUCCUCCAGUCAUGGGCCUCAAUUUUUUUUUAAUACCCACUAGUACUACUGCCCUCCAAUUUUAUUUAAUACCCCUAGCCAUUUGUUGUCUGAAUUCUUAGGGACGGCCCUGGUUGUUAUAUUUAGCGUUAUUAUGUUCAGUACUUACUUUUUAGUAGCUCAAAGACAUUCAUAGUUUAAAAACUUAACUCGAACCAGAUGAUCGGAUCAGUCUUAUUAGGAACCUGAAGCAUGGCCAGCUUGAGCCAAACAUUUGACAGGCCAUGUGUGAGAACCGGCAAUUUUUAUUUAAAAAAAAUAAAAUAUAAAAAAGAAAGAUUGAUGAACCGGUGGCUCAUUCUUUUUUAGAAUAAAUAACGUAUUCAUUCAUUCAAAUUAUAUUGCAUCAUAAACAACAUACAUUAUAUGUCACUAGAACUAAAAAAGAUGAAAUUUUGAAUAAACCACAACAUCCUAGUUAAUAACAUAAAACAACAUAAUGCUUACAGAACUAAUAAAAUUAAAAUGACAAUAAUACUCAUGCCUCCUUGUGAUCAAUAGCGUUGAUGAUCAAGUUCUUUGUCGAAUCAAUAAUGAAUCGAAGCUAAUUUAUCAAUCUGAAUGAAACAAACACCGUAACAAAACAAGAAAACCAAACUACGCCGUACAAUGACAGAAAACAAAAACAAAACUUCAUGAAUAACACUUAUUUAGAAAAAAAAGAGACAAAAUAAAGAGAGAUUAUUUCGGAUAAAAAAUAACUGCAAACCAAGAGAACUUGGAGUUUCCUCACUGAAUGGUGAGGGCUAUAUCAAAUAUCAAUUUUCUUAGAUCAUCACUCCGGGCAUUUGAUGUGUUUGGUGAUGUACUAAAAGACAAGAGGAGAGUGUAACAAUUUUUAGAUAAAUGAUAAAUUAUAUUUAUACAAUCAUUUUAUAACAAUUUUUAGACAACUUUCUCUCAUGUUCACAUUAUGUUUUUAUCAUCUCUCUUCUUUUUUCUCUUUCCAUUAUUUUUAACCAAUAAAAAGUGAAAAAAUCAAAGUUGUCACCAAAAUUGUCACUAUAUAGAUAUACAAAUAUCAUUAUCCUACUUUAAUAGAUAGAUGAGGAGUUUGUCAAAUGUGAGAUUUGUAAGUCUUAAUGUAACUAAAUAACCAACCAUAAGUGAUAGAAUGACACUUAAAACAACUUUAUUUACCUUCAAGAUUUUCAUAAGAAUUAUAUAUAUUUUUUCUUUCUUUCAAAUGACAUCUUUUUAUCAUAAAACAAUUGACUUUUUAAAUUCAUUGUGUAAGUGAAGUAUCGAGUCUAUAUUUAUUACAGUAUACAUUAAUUAUUCAAUGAAUCUAAAAAGUCAAUUAUUUCUUAUAAUAAGCAUCGAAUGGAAUAGUUAACUAGAUCGACAUGUGAAAUAUCAUACUUUAAACUAUUGAGCUCAAUUAAAAGCGCAACGACAUCGAUAUUUUUUGUGCGUUUAUUUUUUUGUUUAAGACUUUUUUUAGUUAUAUAGUUUGUUGGCUUUGCCAAACAGAACCAUGGUAUAUAGUACUCAAAUAAAACAAAGAAUUUGGCACAUUUGACUUUGAUUGGUUCGUCAAUCUUAAUUGUAUUAACAGUGAAUAGGGCACCAUUUUAUUCUUUGGAACACAUAAAUAACGGACUAAGGUUUGGUAACAAACUUAGAUUCGAGUCCCUACCACUCACCGAUAUUAAAAGAUUCUGCCCGCCAUUAGUGGUGCUUCAUUAAUUUCAAUUAUUACUCAGAAAAUAUGUCAAAUUAUGUGUCUUCUGUCACUUUUUUGUGUUAUUAUUUUGGAUAUGUUUGGCAAGACGAGUUUAUAGUAUGUGGCUUAUAACUUAUCAAGAUCAUAUGCUUUUAUUUUUAAGAAACUUAUAAGCUCAUGUGAUUAGGCAUGGCAAUGGGGUGGAGUGGGGGUGGGGACGGGUUUUACAUUCUUCGUCCCUGUAUCUGAUUCUCAUAUAAUUACUUGUUCCCUUAUACAUAUUCAACGGGGAUGAGAAAUUGAACCUCGUUGAUAAAAAAUAUAUGGUUUUUUACAACCCUUAGAGAAAUGUUGUAAUGCAUUAUCCAGCAAUAUGUUCACUUUAACAUUUGUUAGAUCGAUUGAUUUAGUUGCUCCUUUAAAUUUCAAUGGUAAUUUUUAUAGCACGACAACUAUCAAACAAAAUAACAUGGCAUAUCAACAUAAAGUAACUUUCUGCAUUUGAGACGGGUUUUGGUGUGAGUUCGGAUGGGUACUUGUUACUGUUGGAACAAAAUGUGUUUCACAAUGAACCUUAUUAAGUUUUGAUGAUAACAAGGUAUUAAAAAUUGUCAAUUGGUUAUUACUAAUAAUUGUUCAAGUGUACAGGACCAAAGGCUACUCAAGUUAUUUCAAUAGGUCUUGGAAGAACAAUGGAAAGAAAAAGAAAUUAUGAGCAUCUGAAGAAAACUGCUCCUGAAGCUGAAGUGCUUCUGAAGUGAUGACGUCAUCAGAAGCAGAAAGUCAUCAGAAGCAAAAGUUUUCAUCAGAAGCAAUAUCUUCACCAGAAGCUACGUUUGAUCCUUUAAUCAAACUGAAGAUUCAAAGUAGCUGAUUCUCAAUUCAGUCUUAUCCAAGAAGAACGAAGAAUUGAAAGGGAGGUAUCAACGGAUAUAUGGAUAGCACUGAGCACUUGUCUCUCGUUAAUAGAGUUGACAAAGUACAAGUGUACAACCACUACCUCCACUACUCUGUUUUCUGUCUACGCUACAAGACAAAACAACAGCCAUGCCUGCAGAAGUUGUACGUUCAAGAUGGGAAUGAAUUUGAAGCUUAUUCUUCAAAGGACUACACCCAAAUCAGGCAAAGGAUCACUGGUGGAUAAUCAAAGGAUUUCAAACGACUCUUUAGACGUGCUGAUUAUCUCAACGUCUCUUUCACACCUCUAUAUAAAGGAGUGAAGACUUGAAGAUAAAAGAUAGAGAUACAUAAGUUCAAAAGCGCCAAAACUCUGUCAAUUUGAUACUACAAAGCACACUGAAUUUCUGCACUGAUUUGAUACAUCUUAGAAAUUCAAAGUCUAGAGUCUUUACUGUAUUGUAUUGUGAACAUCACUGAUUGUAUAUCAAGUGUUCAACUCAAACUCAAUUCUCUGUAUUUUUGUUUGAUUAGAAGUUUCUUGCCUGCGUGCUUGAUCAUUAGAAGUCUCUUGCUUAGUGCUUGAGCAUUGGAAGACUCUUGCGUGUGUGCUUGAGCAUUUUUGUGAAGUCUCAUACUUAGACAGUAUUGAGCAUUUGUAAUCUUUGUGAUUAUAGUGAAAUCUCCUUGAAAGUGCAAGGGGGACUGGACUACUUCCGUGUUGUGGAAGGAACCAGGAUAACUGCUUGUGUCUUUGUCUUUCUUUUCUCUGCUCUGUUCUUUUCCGCUGCAAUCUGACUCUGAUCAUUUCAUCAGAAGCAAUCAAACUGCUUCUGAAGUUUUAUCAAAGGAAGUAUUUUUUAAGAGAAAAAGAAAACACAAUUCAACCCCCCCCCCCCCCUUCUUGUGUUUUUCACCUUCAGUUACCCGUCUAUAUAUCUAUUACCCGUCUCAUACCCGUGUUUUGAAAUUGGAGAAAAUCUAACACAUACCCAAACUCAAUCAAAACGGGGAAAACCCGUCAAAUUAAAUUUAGUUCGGGUGGGUAACCACGGGUAUGGAUUUUGUUGGCAUGCCUACAUGUGAUUAAAAACGAGCUGUUUGGUAACGGUCAUUCACACAUAAGCUUAUACCUUCUUUUUACCAGCUUAUAGAAGUUUUUUUAUAAGCUGAUUCAAGUAGCAUAUUGUUUAAAUCUUAUAACUUAUCAUUUUUCUCUCCAUUAUACCCUUGUAGUCUUAAUUGAAAAAUUAAAUAUUCAAUAUAUAACUAUAUAUUUUUUUAUGUCAUUUCAUAUUUUAAGGUAGUGCAACAACUAAUUUUAUCAAACACUACAAAUUCAAUCAAUUAACUUAUCCAUUAUCAACUGUAAAAUAGCUUAUCAUUUAUCACUUGGAAGCUAGCUUAUAAGCAAUAUGUUAUAAACUCAUCUGUUAUAAGCAAAAUUUGUGUUGAGUUUUUUUAACGAUGCUUUUGUCGAUAUAUCCUAACAUACGAAUGAAAAAUUGUGACUUUUAUAAUAACAUAAUAAUGAAAAAUAAUCAAUGCUUAUUUUCUUCAAGUAUGUUGCAUGAUGUUAGCCUGUACUUUUUAUUUGUUUAUUUCGAUAGGAAAGACUUUAGGUCGAAGAUGAGUUUUGCACUUGGUGACAUUCCAGGAAGUUUGUGAGUUCAACAUAUUAUGUUAACACUUCGUAUAUUAAAGAUUACAGAGGCAAGAUCAAAGGUUGAAGAUACGUGGGUACAUAUUAAGAAAUAUGUCAAAGACUUUUAGUUUACGACUGUUAUUUUCAGUUACAUCUUAUUGUGCAUAUAGGAGUUUUGAAUAGGAAAUAGGGGUCAUUAAUCAAAAUACUAAAAUCUUUACGUUCAAAGUAUCCAAGUUACAGUGAGAAAAGAGUAACAAGAAAAUGUAUGUAUGAUUUAAUGUACCAGUUUACAUUUAUGCAAUCAUAAUGCUUUUCUUUUAAUUUGUUUUACUUUCAUCUCUAAAAUAGUAUUUCUUUGAUUCUUAAC